UGGUCGUGGAAACGUGUGACCCUUCUACUUAGCCGUUGUCUUUACCGGUUUCUACAGAUUGCCGUUUCUGUUGAGUUAUUAUAAUCCAUUCUCACUUAUUCAAUCUCAUUAUUUAUUUUUCUCUUCGGUUGCAAUUUAAUCCUUCCACCACCCUUUGAUUUUCCUCUUAAAUAAACUUCUUUCGUCCAAGGUUACAGUCUACAAUCAAUGGAUCUUAUCUCACAUCCCAAUUUAGUUUCUUUUGAUCGUCUCUCGCCGUUCCAAUUUCAUAAUCUACAUCUCUGGAGAAACCAAUGGCUGAUACAUCUCAAGACCUCACUUUUACGGCGUUGCGUUUCGUUUCGUUUCGUUUAAUAAAAUGCUGCAGUUCUGGCCUCUACACCCUUCAAAUCUGAGGCGAAAUGGUAUUCUCAAAUGUAUGGUAUUCAUCUGCGACGUCGUUUCCCAUUGAUAUGAUGAUGUCUUCUUCGAGCGGGAACAGGGCUUUGCGCGCCGUACCCGGUCUAGCUAUUCAUCUUCACUGAGAAGGGAUAUGAAGGAGGAGAAUGAUGAACAGAUAGUCCCAAAAUCAGAUUGAGCAACGGCCACAUCUUUUGUCAUUUCUCGAUAUUGAAGGGCUUUACUUCAUCUCGGUUUGGACGGGUUAAAUUCAUCUCAGCUUAGAUAUUUUCCUCUGCUAUGACUUGACCUUUGAUUUUUUAUUUAUUUUUGAUUCAUGUUAAAGACGAAUCUUACAUUGCUUUCCAUGAUUAAGAGCGUGGAGUUCCUAUCCAUGAUGAACUCUCUUGUGCUUAGCCUGCUAAAAGAUGCUCUUUGUGGAUUAUAAACGCUCUUAUUUCUUAAAUUCAGUUUCGAGGGAAAUUUUCCUCGACUUGGACCCAAUAGCAACUUCUGAACUAACAAAUAGACAAUAUCCCCUAAGAUUGCAACCCCCUCAUUACUAUUUACGUGGGGAAACCAAACUGGUAAGGUAACUUAAUAUUUAUAAGCAUGAUCAUUGUUUGAGUAAAUUUAGCUUUUUCUACUUAAUUAGUUUGUUUUACAGUUUGUGUUUCCUCCUCAGAAAAUCCUAACGUUUUGGUUUAGCAUGUGCAAACAAUCAGAAAUAUUUACAAAGAACUCUACAUUGUUGUUGCCAUCAUUCCUUAAUUGUUCCGCUUCGCUCAGUGUAUAUGGACGCUGGUUGAGGAGAAUGAAAACAAUGAAUGGCGAAAUGAACUGAAGUAUCUCUCCACCAUGUUAGUGGUACAGCUAGAACAAACUUCGAAGAAAUGGACUUACUGAUGAGUUUGGUGGCUGUAACCACUUCGAGCAUCGCAAUAGUGUUCAAUAAUUAUUGAGACAUUUUCAAGGAUUUGGUUCACAUGAACCGCAAGUACAUAAAUUGCAAGGAGGAGCAUGGGAUGACGAGUAUGAAAAUGAUGACGAUGAUUAUGCUGGAAAGUAGAGGAGGAGAGGAAAUGAUGGAAACGGGUCGGCCAGUGGGUCAUUUGGGUCGGGUAGUGAAAGAUCCAGAGUCUGGAAACGAGUUUGAUGUUAAUGAACUUCGAGACGAGGAAAAUUUUACUCCUGCUAAGAAGAAACAUUACUGUAGACAUACAAAUUCUCAGAUCCAAGCAAAUAGAAGUGAAUGUGUAGAUAUGGGGGAAAAGAAUAAUAUCUCCGGAUGCAGUUUCUUUUCCAUGUAGUCUAACUCCGGAAGCUGUUAAAAACUAUAAACUGCUGCAUCAAAAUCAGGAACUGUGAGUUGGAAACACAGUUUGAAAGAAUCAGAGAGACUGCAACGGAUAGCAAAGAAGCAAAUAUGUAAUUGUUGUUAGUUUGAUUUAGGCCAAGCCAACUAUUAUAAAUGUGCUGUUCAGAGUUCCGCAAAUUUUAUUUUUCACAAUACGUUUUAUGAGAAUGAUUUUUAGAACAAAAAUGA